rnacentral:lncRNA from 1 species
UAAACACAGAAGUGACAUUGACAUGUCAUGUGUCCAGUAUCACUGGAUCUGGGUUCAUUGCUGAAUGAACGAUUAGAGGACGAGUCCCGCUUUUUGUUUUAGUUGUCUUGAUUGAGACACCGUGGUCAGCACCAAGAUCAGCGUUUGAUAUGGUGUCACACAUCCAGAAGAUCUGGUAUCAUGGUGUGGGUUGCAGUUUUAUACAAUUACAGAUAAAAUUUGGUUUCAUUAAAGGCACUUUGACAGCCCAGUGUUAUUUUAAUCAUAUCCUACAACCAGUGGUCCUACCUUUUCUGAACAUACACUUUGGUGCACUAUUCCAACAGAACAAUGCUCAUCCACACACUGUUGCUGUCUCAAGACACAGCUCUACCUGCGAUCUCCAGCCUUCGGACUACGUUACCCAGAAUGCAUCACUCAGUGACAUCACUUAUUCACCCAGGAAGUCAAUCACCCGAAUUCUGAACACCUGUCCAGAGCUCUACUCAUACCCCUCACUUCUCUCUACAAAGCUUUGUUCAAUUCUUCCAUGUUUACCUACCUAGUUUUUGUUUUUUCUCGAUUUUUGCCUUGCCCUUUUUGCUGCUCUAUCGUGUAUGACCCUUGGACUGUUUAUCCAGCCUGGUAUGUUUAUCCUCUCAGGCUAUCGUUUGUUUACUGGUGGUGAGCUUGCUUUUUUUGACUAUCCUUUGUCCUGUGGCUUCAUUUAAUAAAAGCUUUCAUUCACAU